rnacentral:misc_RNA from 1 species
GAUGAAGAACGCAGCGAAAUGCGAUAAGUAAUGUGAAUUGCAGAAUUCAGUGAAUCAUCGAAUCUUUGAACGCACAUUGCGCCCGCCAGUAUUCUGGCGGGCAUGCCUGUUCGAGCGUCAUUUCAACCAUCAAGCCCCCGGCUUGUGUUGGGGACCUGCGGCUGCCGCAGGCCCUGAAAACCAGUGGCGGGCUCGCUAGUCACUCCGAGCGUAGUAAUACAUCUCGCUCAGGGCGUGCUGCGGGUUCCGGCCGUUAAAAAGCCUUAUUUACCCAAGGUUGACCUCGGAUCAGGUAGGAAGACCCGCUGAACUUAAGCAUAUCCAAUAAGCGGAGGA